AUACUUACCUGUCUGGAAAUAUGCUAUGGUUUUUCCAGAGUGAAGCUAACUCACUGCACUCUACAUGUGCUGGUCCUGCAAUCACCCCAAAUGUGAAAGGCUCAGCUGCAUAAUCUGUGGCAGGGAGGAGAUUGUACACAUGCUCUCCCC
rnacentral:snRNA from 1 species